UGUCAAAUUUUAGUCAGGAGCAUAGUUAGGAAGAGAAAGAAGAAAGAGAAAGAAAGAAAGAAAGAAAGAAAGAAAGAAAGAAAGAAAGAAAGAAAGAAAGAAAGAAAGAAAGAAAGAAAGAAAGAAAGAAAGAAAGAAAGAAAGAGAAAGAAAGAGAAAGGAAGGAAGGAAGGAAGAGAAAGGAAGGAAGGAAGGAAGGAAGGAAGGAAGGAAGGAAGGAAGGAAGGAAGGAAGGAAGGAAGGAAGGAAGAGGUAACAUUCUCAAUUUAUUUUUCUAGUACUAAAUCUGUAGCUGUGUAUGAUAUUCCCUUGGUUCUACUCAUUUUGCUGUUCAUUAUGCCAAGUAGUUCUUUCCAAGUCUUAUUUUUAUUUACCUUGUUUAUUGUUUGUCAUGGUACAGUAGUAUUCUAUCACAAUCAUAUGGCACAAUUUGUUUAGCCGUCAAGUGUUGGUCAUACCUUAAUUUCCAGUUUUUUUAUAAAUUUUUCCACUACAUAGAGAUUUACUAUAAAUAUUUUGGAACAUAAAUGUUUUUUUUUCCUUUUUCCCUGAUCUCCUUGGGAAAUAGAUCUAGCAAUUUUUGCUGGGUUUAUGUAUACAGGAUUUUAUAACUCUGUAUAUAUGAGACCAGUUUUUUAAAACUGUGGGACUAAAGAAUCAUAGAAUUAGAACUUAAAGAAACUAUAGAGAUCAUUGAACACAGUUCUCUAAUUUAAUAGAUGAGAUGAAAAGUGAGGUCACACAGGUGAUAAGUAGAAAAACAAGAAUCUAAACCAAAUAUUUGGACUGUAUCUCACCUUUUUCAGAGGAUGAGAGUUAUCAAGAUCCUCUGGAAGUAGUCUACUGGGGAACACAGUGAGGAAAUAAAAGGAUAACAUGAGAGUGCA
rnacentral:lncRNA from 1 species